UUCAUUGUGUUUUGUGAAAUAUAUUCUAAAUUCCCUAUUUACAUAGCGAAGUAAAAAAGGGGCACUAACUCCCGGGAUACAUCAUUCUCUCUGUCCUUAGAGGAAGCAAAGUAUAUUAGUUAUUGCUGUAUAACAAAUAACCCAAAACUCAGUAGAUUAAAACAACAACAAAUAUGUAUUACGUCUCUCAAGAAUUUGGUAAUAGCUUAGCUCUGGGGAAGUUCUGGCUUAAGGUCUCUUAAAAGCUUGAAAUCUGCAUGAGCCACUGAGCCUGGCCAUGGCAAUACAUUUCUGACACCACCCAAGAAUUAGCAUAGACCUCACAGGUCAAAGGGCAUGGUCCUCAACAAGACUGUCCUCACUUCAGAUGCCAGCUGUACUUCGGAGGUAGCUCCAGCCACCUGCAUUUUCGACCAAGUGGCUACAGAUUUGGAGAUUCCCAUGACCCUCUUAGAACCAGCUUUUGAUUUCGUUGGUUUUCUUAUUGUUUUUAGUUCCUUUAAAGUUAGGUUGGUUGAUUUGAGGUCUUUUUACUUUUUUUUUUGAGACGGAGUUUCACUCUGUUGCUCAGGCCAGAGUGCAGUGGCACAAUC
rnacentral:lncRNA from 1 species